GGGGCAACCCUGGUGGCGAGUGGCGAACGGGUGAGUAAUAACAUCGGAACGUGUCCUGUAGUGGGGGAUAGCCCGGCGAAAGCCGGAUUAAUACCGCAUACGCUCUGCGGAGGAAAGCGGGGGAUCCUUCGGGACCUCGCGCUACAGGGGCGGCCGAUGGCAGAUUAGCUAGUUGGUGGGGUAAAGGCCUACCAAGGCGACGAUCUGUAGCUGGUCUGAGAGGANGACCAGCCACACUGGGACUGAGACACGGCCCAGACUCCUACGGGAGGCAGCAGUGGGGAAUUUUGGACAAUGGGCGCAAGCCUGAUCCAGCAAUGCCGCGUGUGUGAAGAAGGCCUUCGGGUUGUAAAGCACUUUUGUCUUGAAA
rnacentral:rRNA from 1 species